UGAUUAGCAAAUUAGAAUUAUAUGUAUUUUUUAUUAGACCUGACUAAAAAUUGAAACCGAUCUCCCAAAUGCGAAGCUAGAACGCUAACCACUACACCACACCUCAUUCAAUAGAGUUCUUACUUCAGACCAUCGCAUUUAGCUGGAAUAAACCAUCACACAGUUUCAUUAAAGUCAACUUUAUAGUUAGACCAUCUCUGACAGAGCCGCCAUCGCACUUCAGCGUAGAUAUCAACAAGUUAACGUCACAAUGUUACCAUCGCACUUCAGCGUGUUAACCAACGCACUUCAGCGUACACCAUCGCAAUUCAGCGUG
rnacentral:lncRNA from 1 species